rnacentral:rRNA from 1 species
UACGUAGGGUGCAAGCGUUUGUCCGGAAUUAUUGGGCGUAAAGAGCUCGUAGGCGGUGUGUCACGUCGUUCGUGAAAACCUGCAGCUUAACUGUGGGCGUGCGGUCGAUACGGGCAUCACUGGAGUUCGGCAGGGGAGACUGGAAUUCCUGGUGUAGCGGUGAAAUGCGCAGAUAUCAGGAGGAACACCGGUGGCGAAGGCGGGUCUCUGGGCCGAUACUGACGCUGAGGAGCGAAAGCGUGGGGGAGCAAACAGG